AUAUACAUAUUCAACUUUAACAAGGCUAAUUAUAGUAAAAGGAAACUAGCUUAAAAAUGUUUUUACUACAGUUAACUACUAUGUAUAUAGUUAACAGUAUCAACUCAAGGCAACUAUUCAGAGCAGCUGCCUCGAAGGUCCAAAUAGCCAUGAUGAUUGCCAACCUUCGUCGCGGAGAUGACACUUAAAGAUGAACCCAACCUAAGGUUACUAGAAGAAAUAGAGGCUGUCCAAUAUGUUUUGUGGAUCGGUAAGAGAGGAUAUUAAUACUAGCCUUAAAGUUUUUUUUAUAUUGAUACACUGUUCGUAUGGAAUAAAUGUGAUGUUUCAUUUGAAA